rnacentral:lncRNA from 1 species
UACUUUCUGACAUGAUGACAUUCCCUAACCCGCUGUAUUUCCUGUCCACUGCCAGAAUCUGCCACUGCUCCAAGGAGACCCAGAUGUUUGCUAGACAAUGCUACUGCAAACCAAGAUCUGCCUGCAAGCUGUGCUCCUUGUUACUGAGAGGUCUCCUCUUAGACCAAGUGCAAAGAUUUACAAAGUGACCGGAGACUAUUCCUGAGCUCAUUGAUUACUUCCUAAAUGGCUUGGGAUCGUGCUGGAGCAGAUCCCUGCAGCAAAGCUUGAACACAGUGGCUCAAAGAUAACACUCACCUAGAAUUAGAAAAUCAUCAUACAGGAAGCUCCAGGGUGACGGAUUUUACCAACACUGCUGUCUCUAGAGGGCUGAAAACAGAACUGCAGGCAACUUGUAAUCCACAGAGCAUGUUACAUUGCUUCAAUUAUGGAUUUUCAGUGCUUAUUUUUGACCUACUGCAUCUGUUUUGAAACAAGAACUGCUUUGUUCUCAGAGAUUACUACCCUUAAUGAUUUUAAGACACAGAUAAUUAGAAUACGAUGCAUAAAUUGACCAUGAAAGUAUUUAAUAAAAGUGUCACAUUACACAUUAACUUAGAAGAUAAAGCAAUCGUGGGUGACUUUUAGUGGAUUACUUACCACACAUAACAAUUAUUUUCAUUUUUAGUGAUGAUGUUAGAGACUUGCUAAAAUUUUAUAUAAAUAAGAAAAUGACUGCUGUAUUUUAUUUUUGAAUCUGAAAAACAAAAAAAUUCACUAAGAAAAAUAAAUCCCCAAAUUUGGAUGGAAAAAGCUAACAUAAAAUAAAAUUGAAAGUU